UUGGAGAAGUUUGAUCCUGGCUCAGGACGAACGCUGGCGGCGUGCCUAAUACAUGCAAGUCGAGCGGACAGAUGGGAGCCUGCUCCCUGAUGUUAGCGGCGGACGGGUGAGUAACACGUGGGUAACCUGCCUGUAAGACUGGGAUAACUCCGGGAAACCGGGGCUAAUACCGGAUGGUUGUUUGAACCGCAUGGUUCAAACAUAAAAGGUGGCUUCGGCUACCACUUACAGAUGGACCCGCGGCGCAUUAGCUAGUUGGUGAGGUAACGGCUCACCAAGGCGACGAUGCGUAGCCGACCUGAGAGGGUGAUCGGCCACACUGGGACUGAGACACGGCCCAGACUCCUACGGGAGGCAGCAGUAGGGAAUCUUCCGCAAUGGACGAAAGUCUGACGGAGCAACGCCGCGUGAGUGAUGAAGGUUUUCGGAUCGUAAAGCUCUGUUGUUAGGGAAGAACAAGGCCGUUCGAAUAGGGCGGUACCUUGACG
rnacentral:rRNA from 1 species